AGCCAAGGAAAGGCCAAACCUCCACACCUGAAGCCAAGGAAAGGCCAGACUUCCAGACCUGAAGCCAAAGUGUGCCAAGCCCCACACCCCUGCGCCUGUGCCUUCUGCUGCUCUCAGAAUUCCUCCAGUUUAGCCACAUUUGGAGUUUUCCCUGCUCCCACUGCCCUGAACUGUGCUUUGUGCGUGGCCUCUGUGCCCUCACGGGGCAGCUCCACCUUGAGCAGGAUUUCAUUGAGGUUUUUGUGCAAUCCUGAGCUGUUAAGAGUGAGGAAUACUUGGAAUUGCUGCCUGUUGAAGGCCUGGAAUUCAUCCUUGUCCAAGCUCAGCCUGGCAGCUGAUUUGGGCACAAUCACACAGCAAAAUCACCCAUUUGGACCUUUCCCAGCAUUUUGGGGCCAGUUUAUCCAUGAUUUCCCUGUGCUCCUCAAAGGAAAACAUCUGAAGUGGCUGCUGCCACCGGGGUAACUCGCUCGGGAGAGGAAAGAGAAUUUUGCUGGAUUUACUUCACAUCCCAGCAAUGCAGUGCAAGCAACUGAUGCCAAAGUGAGAGACACAAACAACUCAGUGAUGCCCCGGGGAUAACGCCUGGUUUAAAGCUCAUUUGUCAGGCAGUGUUUGCCUCUUAGAACCUCCCUUUGUUAUGGAGAGCAGAGAUCCAGCAAAUGCGACGUGAUUGCAGCUGGAAAAGAUGGAAAGCUGCGUUCUGACCUGCAGACAGAAUGUGUCAAACGAGACCUUUCAGCUCUGAGAGGCUCCGAGCUUUUAAUGAAACCUGUCAGGUACAGAUGAACGGUUAACCUGCCUUUCAUUCUCCCAGCUUAUUAAAAUCAUUAAAAGCCAGCAAUAAUUAUGAUCCUUUCUGACUGCUGUAUUUAUGUCAGCCCCGGGGGUCUGGUGCCUGCAGGAGGGUUCUGCUCGGAUGGGAAUCAUUGCAGAAGGUCGCUGCUGCUCCUUCCCAGCAUCGCCAAACUGGAGGUUCCUCCUCUUUGCUGUCCUUUCCAAGCUCAGGAUCUGACCUCUACAACACAAACAGGUGAUUCCUGCUGAUGGUUUUUUUAAGUUUAUUUUUUUUAUUUUAUUUAUCAUUUAGGAAUUGAAACUGAAAUUUUUAUUUAUCAAUUAGGAAUUGAAAAUGAAAUCAGCUUGUAUUCCAAACUGAGCAGUUUCCGCUCCUCUGCCAUGUGAGACGAGCCAUGGAUCUGCACAGGACUAAGGGAAGAUGAUGGGCUGCAGUAUUACCUGAGGGAAGACCUAAUCUUUUAAACCAAUGCACCCUCACAGUGACAUUCUGUUAUUCAUUCUCUGGUUUUUGGCCUGUGGGUAUCUCCUCAUGACUAUUCUCCACAUUUUUUUUAACAAGUGACAUCCCUGAGAAUUCCUGGCGUUGCUCUCCCUGUUCACACAGGUUGAGUGUGUUCACACGGAUGUUUCUGGAAGUCUUGGUGUCAGUUCUGUGGCUGUGGCUGUGAAUUUUGGGGCUUCACUGAGUUCCAUUGAUUAUUGCCAACAGUGCUGCACUUUGGUGAUCUAUUCCAGAGGCCUCAAGUUUAAUGUCUGAGCCAGGUUUGUACUGAAGGACAUUUCUACAGUGGCAAAAGGAUUUUUUUUUAUACUUAACACUUAAAACAUUUUUCUACUCAUGUCACUCAUAGAACUGAGCGUGAUGGAUCUAAUUUCUCAAAGCUGAAAAUACAGACUGUCAUGGAAAUCCAUAGAAAGAAAUCCAUAGAAAGACUCCUGCUUGUUUUAUAUCAAAUCCAAAAAUCUCCUUUAUUCCUGAGUUGCUGUUUGAGCUCCUCCUUGCCAGCCAGGGAGUCUGGAGUCAAAGAAUUUAAUAUCAGACCUGGGGGUCUGACAGAUUUUAGAGGGGAAGAGGGGAGCUGAUUCUGUCUGGUUCCAUAUCAGGCAUUGACAAAGCAAUCAGUGGAAUUCUUCUUCAGCACAGAUUAUGCUGUAAAAGCAAAAAAAAACCCCCAGCAUUGAUUUGGGUUUGUAAUAAGAUGACAAGUCUGUAAUGAUCAGCAGCUUCAGAGAUUACAGAAAUGUACUUUUCAUUUCUCUGACAUGAUGUCAAUACCUUUUCCAGCUGUUCUGAACACCCUGAGAGGUUUUAUCUUAAAAUCUGGGUUUGAGAAAGAUAAGCGAGAGAAAAGGUUGAUCUGCCAUUGAAAUGGUGUCACUCCUAAAUUCUUUUGUGUUUGAUAAAAUAUAUUUUAUGAAGUGCUAUAAAGUACAAAUGGGGUCAGGGAAGCGCCUUUUGCUCCACUUUGGGCUGACCUAAGCCCUGUGUUCAGGCGAUUUUCAGAACACAACACUCAUGAGGUUUUGGGGCGGGAAGUGAGUUUUUCUCAUCUUGUGCCUUGCCAGAAUUUUUUGCCAUCUUUUUGAGAAAAAAUCAUGGGUUAUAAUGGACUUUCCUGACCCAAACAAAUCCAUGGUGAGGCUGAUGUGACCUGGUCACAGCCAAAUCCAUCCCAUGUGGGUAAAACAGGCUGAGGAGAGGCAGUGGGGCCUUUAUAUUCCUUUGGUUCCAUCCAUUAUUGAUAAGGCUUUUAGCAAUGAUCAUCUGUAAGUGCUGUGUUACACCCCAGCACGUGCCAGGGGGAUCUGUAGUAUUUUUAAAUCUGGAUCUGGAAUUUUUAAACAGAUUAAGCACGUAAAUGCUGGUGACACUUGCAGAAUUAGAUAAUCUUUUGCCCUUUUUUGGGGCUGGAAUUGGGAUUUGCAUGAUUUGUUCCCGUCUCCAUUGUGCCGCUCGCUAACGCAGACUGGCCCGUUUGUUCCCUGGGUCUGCUGCUGGUUGGACACUCUCAAUUCCCCUGGCAAUGGAUUUACUCUGGAUACACAUCUCUGGAAGUGAACUCUGGGCUGGAUUCCCCACCAGGAUUCCCGCUGCAAACACUGGAUCUGCUCUUUCGGCUCCUUUCUCCUGCCUGUGGAGCACACAAACCCUUCCUGUCCCUCUCUCUGCAUUCUGCGCCCAGGCCCCGUGAAUUUGGGGAAUUUAGCUGAAAUUCAUUUGUUUUGUGUUCAUGUCACACGUUGUUUCUGCCACAGUUGCUCUCCUUCCCCCCUCAGCGAGCGGCACACGGAAUAAAAGGAGCUUGUGUGAGAUUUGGCUCGGCCGC
rnacentral:lncRNA from 1 species